rnacentral:rRNA from 1 species
UACGAAGGGGGCUAGCGUUGUUCGGAAUUACUGGGCGUAAAGGGCGCGUAGGCGGUGAUCUUUGUCAGAGGUGAAAGCCCGGGGCUCAACUCCGGAAUUGCCUUUGAAACGGGAUUGCUUGAGUCCGAGAGAGGAUGGCGGAACUCCUAGUGUAGAGGUGAAAUUCGUAGAUAUUAGGAAGAACACCGGUGGCGAAGGCGGCCAUCUGGCUCGGUACUGACGCUGAUGCGCGAAAGCGUGGGGAGCAAACAGG